CACGGAAUCCACAUGCAAAAUAUAUGCCGGAAUGAACAUGAGCUAGCUCUCUCAGAUAAGGCCGCUUACACACAAAGUCUAACUGGGUGGCUGCGGCUCAAGUGCAAGGUCUUGACUCUUGAUUGGCCGCCGACAUGCAUCGGUUUUAGGGCUUGGACCCAUAUCCAAGCUUCUGGUUGGGCCCUCGCCGGACGUAAUGGCGUCACUGGUGAGAUGGGAACGGCUCCGUGGUCACUGUUGUCUAAAACCAUAUUUGCGGCGCUUACAUUGGACCAGUUGAUAAGGAGUAUAUAAAUAUCUAGUUGUCAAUCAAAUAGUGCUACAUUUAAGACACUUGUUCCUGCUAGAUCAGAGGAUCCAGCAUAUGCCCAUACACACGUAUUGCCAGGGGCAAGAAAUAGUACUCAAUGUGUCUAUUGUACCAAAACAAUUAAAAGUGAUGGAGUCACAAGGUUGAAAUAUCAUCUAGGUGGGAUUUCAGGUGAUGUAGAAGCAUGUAAAAAGGUCUCCGAUGAUAUAAAAUGACAAAUGAAAGAGUUGGUCAAUGAAAUGAAAAAAAAACAAAGAGAAGAAAAGAAAAAUAAACUUAGAGACUGGAAGCCCUGUAGAUUUAUCAUAUAAUGAUGUUGAUGUUAAUGUUAAUGUUGAUGAUGAUGAUGAAGGACACAUUCAUGGUUCAAAAGGGAAGGAGAAAGUAGGUGGAAAGUCAAUGACGGCAUUUAAUA